rnacentral:rRNA from 1 species
UACGAGGGGUCCUAGCGUUGUUCGGAAUCAUUGGGCGUAAAGGGUGCGUAGGCGGGUCUUUUAAGUCAGGGGUGAAAUCCUGGAGCUCAACUCCAGAACUGCCUUUGAUACUGAGGAUCUUGAGUUCGGGAGAGGUGAGUGGAACUGCGAGUGUAGAGGUGAAAUUCGUAGAUAUUCGCAAGAACACCAGUGGCGAAGGCGACUUCCUGGCCUGUUCUUGACGCUGAGGCGCGAAAGCUGGGGGGAGCAAACGGG